GGCGGCGUGCCUAAUACAUGCAAGUCGAGCGGACCGAAAGGAGAGCUCGCUCUCCUUUCAGUCAGCGGCGGACGGGUGAGUAACACGUGGGUAACCUGCCUGUAAGACCGGGAUAACUCGCGGAAACGCGAGCUAAUACCGGAUAGGUCCCGUGGCCGCAUGGCGACGGGAGGAAAGAUGGCGCGAGCUAUCGCUUACAGAUGGGCCCGCGGCGCAUUAGCUAGUUGGUGGGGUAACGGCCCACCAAGGCGACGAUGCGUAGCCGACCUGAGAGGGUGAUCGGCCACACUGGGACUGAGACACGGCCCAGACUCCUACGGGAGGCAGCAGUAGGGAAUAUUCCGCAAUGGGCGAAAGCCUGACGGAGCGACGCCGCGUGAGCGAUGAAGGUCUUCGGAUCGUAAAGCUCUGUUGUUAGGGAAGAACAAGUACCGGAGUAACUGCCGGUACCUUGACGGUACCUAACCAGAAAGCCCGGGCUAACUACGU
rnacentral:rRNA from 1 species